rnacentral:rRNA from 1 species
AUUGAACGCUGGCGGCAGGCCUAACACAUGCAAGUCGAGCGGAUGAAGGGAGCUUGCUCCUGGAUUCAGCGGCGGACGGGUGAGUAAUGCCUAGGAAUCUGCCUGGUAGUGGGGGAUAACGUCCGGAAACGGGCGCUAAUACCGCAUACGUCCUGAGGGAGAAAGUGGGGGAUCUUCGGACCUCACGCUCUCAGAUGAGCCUAGGUCGGAUUAGCUAGUUGGUGGGGUAAAGGCCUACCAAGGCGACGAUCCGUAACUGGUCUGAGAGGAUGAUCAGUCACACUGGAACUGAGACACGGUCCAGACUCUUACGGGAGGCAGCAGGGGGAAAUAUUGGACAAUGGGCGAAAGCCUGAUCCAGCCAUGCCGCGGGGGUGAAGAAGGUCUUCGGAUUGUAAAGCACUUUAAGUGGGGAGAAAGGGCAGUAAGUUAAUACCUGGCUGUUUGGACGUUACCAACAGAAUAAGCACCGGCUAACUUCGU